GAUGAAUGCUGGCGGCGUGCCUAACACAUGCAAGUCGAGCGGCAGCGCAGGUAGUUUACUACCUGGCGGCGAGCGGCGGACGGCUGAGUAACGCGUGGGAACAUGCCCCAAAGUGAGGAAUAACUGCCCGAAAGGGUGGCUAAUGCCGCAUAUGGUCUUCGGAUUAAAGGAUUUAUCCGCUUUGGGAGUGGCCUGCGUACGAUUAGAUUGUUGGUGAGGUAAUGGCUCACCAAGUCGACGAUCGUUAACUGGUCUGAGAGGAUGAUCAGUCAGACUGGAACUGAGACACGGUCCAGACUCCUACGGGAGGCAGCAGUGAGGAAUCUUCCACAAUGGGCGAAAGCCUGAUGGAGCAACGCCGCGUGCAGGAUGAAGGCCUUCGGGUUGUAAACUGCUUUUAUAAGUGAAGAGUAUGACGGUAACUUAUGAAUAAGCACCGGCUAACUACGUGCCAGCAGCCGCCGUA
rnacentral:rRNA from 1 species